rnacentral:tmRNA from 1 species
GGGGCUGAUCGGGUUCGACGUUGGACCGGAAGUCGGCUCGUGCGACCGGAGUUGCUCAGACUCCUUAAACGGGGCACACCAAGACACGGCAACCAGCGUGUCGCUCUCGCCGCCUGAUCUAGUCAGGUGAUCUGAGAGUCACAGCACAUCGGCAACGGUGUGCGGGGCCAGUCCACCGCAGCCCGGCAACAGAAGCGGUGGAGGACCGCAGGGAGAGACCGCUGACGGCGUGAAAGACCGCUGACGUCGGGGAAAGACCCGGCGGCGGGGCCACUCGGCCCACCUGACCCGGCAGGCCGGCAGCCGACGAGCUGGAGACGCGGGAAUGGUCGUAGCGCGAUCGGUGACCGCUCAGCGGACGGGGGUUCGAUUCCCCCCAGCUCCACUC